CGUACACAAAAAUGCACAUGCUGUGAGCUCGAUGAGUAGGGCGGGACACGUGGUAUCCUGUCUGAAUAUGGGGGGACCAUCCUCCAAGGCUAAAUACUCCUGACUGACCGAUAGUGAACCAGUACCGUGAGGGAAAGGCGAAAAGAACCCCGGCGAGGGGAGUGAAAAAGAACCUGAAACCGUGUACGUACAAGCAGUGGGAGCCUCUUUUAUGGGGUGACUGCGUACCUUUUGUAUAAUGGGUCAGCGACUUAUAUUCUGUAGCAAGGUUAACCGAAUAGGGGAGCCGAAGGGAAACCGAGUCUUAACUGGGCGUUAAGUUGCAGGGUAUAGACCCGAAACCCGGUGAUCUAGCCAUGGGCAGGUUGAAGGUUGGGUAACACUAACUGGAGGACCGAACCGACUAAUGUUGAAAAAUUAGCGGAUGACUUGUGGCUGGGGGUGAAAGGCCAAUCAAACCGGGAGAUAGCUGGUUCUCCCCGAAAGCUAUUUAGGUAGCGCCUCGUGAAUUCAUCUCCGGGGGUAGAGCACUGUUUCGGCAAGGGGGUCAUCCCGACUUACCAACCCGAUGCAAACUGCGAAUACCGGAGAAUGUUAUCACGGGAGACACACGGCGGGUGCUAACGUCCGUCGUGAAGAGGGAAACAACCCAGACCGCCAGCUAAGGUCCCAAAGUCAUGGUUAAGUGGGAAACGAUGUGGGAAGGCCCAGACAGCCAGGAUGUUGGCUUAGAAGCAGCCAUCAUUUAAAGAAAGCGUAAUAGCUCACUGGUCGAGUCGGCCUGCGCGGAAGAUGUAACGGGGCUAAACCAUGCACCGAAGCUGCGGCAGCGACGCUUAUGCGUUGUUGGGUAGGGGAGCGUUCUGUAAGCCUGUGAAGGUGUGCUGUGAGGCAUGCUGGAGGUAUCAGAAGUGCGAAUGCUGACAUAAGUAACGAUAAAGCGGGUGAAAAGCCCGCUCGCCGGAAGACCAAGGGUUCCUGUCCAACGUUAAUCGGGGCAGGGUGAGUCGACCCCUAAGGCGAGGCCGAAAGGCGUAGUCGAUGGGAAACAGGUUAAUAUUCCUGUACUUGGUGUUACUGCGAAGGGGGGACGGAGAAGGCUAUGUUGGCCGGGCGACGGUUGUCCCGGUUUAAGCGUGUAGGCUGGUUUUCCAGGCAAAUCCGGAAAAUCAAGGCUGAGGCGUGAUGACGAGGCACUACGGUGCUGAAGCAACAAAUGCCCUGCUUCCAGGAAAAGCCUCUAAGCAUCAGGUAACAUCAAAUCGUACCCCAAACCGACACAGGUGGUCAGGUAGAGAAUACCAAGGCGCUUGAGAGAACUCGGGUGAAGGAACUAGGCAAAAUGGUGCCGUAACUUCGGGAGAAGGCACGCUGAUAUGUAGGUGAAGCGACUUGCUCGUGGAGCUGAAAUCAGUCGAAGAUACCAGCUGGCUGCAACUGUUUAUUAAAAACACAGCACUGUGCAAACACGAAAGUGGACGUAUACGGUGUGACGCCUGCCCGGUGCCGGAAGGUUAAUUGAUGGGGUCAGCGCAAGCGAAGCUCUUGAUCGAAGCCCCGGUAAACGGCGGCCGUAACUAUAACGGUCCUAAGGUAGCGAAAUUCCUUGUCGGGUAAGUUCCGACCUGCACGAAUGGCGUAAUGAUGGCCAGGCUGUCUCCACCCGAGACUCAGUGAAAUUGAACUCGCUGUGAAGAUGCAGUGUACCCGCGGCAAGACGGAAAGACCCCGUGAACCUUUACUAUAGCUUGACACUGAACAUUGAGCCUUGAUGUGUAGGAUAGGUGGGAGGCUUUGAAGUGUGGACGCCAGUCUGCAUGGAGCCGACCUUGAAAUACCACCCUUUAAUGUUUGAUGUUCUAACGUUGACCCGUAAUCCGGGUUGCGGACAGUGUCUGGUGGGUAGUUUGACUGGGGCGGUCUCCUCCUAAAGAGUAACGGAGGAGCACGAAGGUUGGCUAAUCCUGGUCGGACAUCAGGAGGUUAGUGCAAUGGCAUAAGCCAGCUUGACUGCGAGCGUGACGGCGCGAGCAGGUGCGAAAGCAGGUCAUAGUGAUCCGGUGGUUCUGAAUGGAAGGGCCAUCGCUCAACGGAUAAAAGGUACUCCGGGGAUAACAGGCUGAUACCGCCCAAGAGUUCAUAUCGACGGCGGUGUUUGGCACCUCGAUGUCGGCUCAUCACAUCCUGGGGCUGAAGUAGGUCCCAAGGGUAUGGCUGUUCGCCAUUUAAAGUGGUACGCGAGCUGGGUUUAGAACGUCGUGAGACAGUUCGGUCCCUAUCUGCCGUGGGCGCUGGAGAACUGAGGGGGGCUGCUCCUAGUACGAGAGGACCGGAGUGGACGCAUCACUGGUGUUCGGGUUGUCAUGCCAAUGGCACUGCCCGGUAGCUAAAUGCGGAAGAGAUAAGUGCUGAAAGCAUCUAAGCACGAAACUUGCCCCGAGAUGAGUUCUCCCUGACUCCUUGAGAGUCCUGAAGGAACGUUGAAGACGACGACGUUGAUAGGCCGGGUGUGUAAGCGCAGCGAUGCGUUGAGCUAACCGGUACUAAUGAACCGUGAGGCUUAACCUUACAACGCCGAAGGUGUUU
rnacentral:rRNA from 1 species